UGGAGUUUGGGCCAGGAGGUGAUACACCAUCUCAGCAUGAAAACAAUUUAGUCUUUUUAGUAGUAGAGAUUUUAUGAUUUAUGAGCCAUUCAUAUCAUUAACAAGUGCUGCUAUUUUCAACUUUAAUAUUGGUAUUUCAGAGUUCUUGGUUGCAAGCAACAGAAAUCUAUCAUUUACAACAAAAGCAACGAGGAGAUUACAUGAAGCGAAAGAGGGGGCUCACAGAAUUGAAGGGAUGCCGGAGAACAAGAAGCUGAAGAAAAUCUCAACAUUGAAGGAGCCUUGGACAACCACCUAAUCCUAUAUUCAUUGAAUAGUUGAACUGUAUCCACCCGGCGUAAUACCCAUGGCAACUGGUCUUCCACAUAUGAUGAAAUAGCCUCUGAGAGGUUAAGUCACUCACCCAAAAUUUCCACUGCCAGGAAGUGGUAGUGAUGGGAUUCAAACCUGGGUGGCCCUGAGACCAGAGCUUCCGCUCUACCCACUUCACUAUACUUCUCUUACUACAGGUACACAGCCCUUUUAUCUCUGCUUUCCUGAAGCAGCCUUUGUAAGUGGAAGGAUUGUACUGAAGGCUCAGCAGCAAUAGAGCUAAUGAAAUGGAAGCUGGGCAGUGCUGAGUCCCUGGGUCACAGUUACCGAGAGGAAAAGUGGGCUGGCUGAGAUUUCAUCCCAGGCUGCCUGCUACGAAGCUCCUCAUCUGCCUCCCUCGAAUCAAGUGCUACAUCCAAUAAUAGGGACUAAACCCACAUCUGUAGCUUCUGAGUCGAGAGAUCUGAAUAGAGAAAUCAGCAGUUAAAAUAAAAUUAAAAUAGCUCUGAACAUUU